GUCWAUUUCUUUGAUUUCAUCAUGAUUGUACCAGGGUUGCAUGUGAAGCUGCUCUACAAUCCUAUUAAAUUGGGAAUGAUUUUGUCCCAUUGUCCUGCAAAGGAGRAGUCAGCAGACUGUCAGACUGAGAAACUGAGAGAGGAGAAGAUGUCUGUUUGGCUUAACAUUCAGUGGCGUUUACACUAUGUGUGGAUGGCUCACAACUUCAUUUUCAAGCCUGAAACUAAUUUUGCAUUUUCAAUCCCCUUUCUCCCCCCAGUACUCAGAAGGGAGCUGGAGAUUGCUUUAGCUGUCUCAUUGCCUAUGAGCAGUUGCGUUAUGUCUCGUUUUAAUCAGGUUGUGCAUAAACAAAAUACUUGCUCUUAGGCAUUUCCCCUGAAUGCUGAGGAGCAAGGAUUCAUAUUAUUCUGUAGGAAAAUAUGAAUUAAUAAACACAUAUUUUCCCCCAAUAAAUGAUUAGGAGGAGCCAUGURAGGGUAGUGAAGAGUAGAAUUAUCCAAAUAGCAAAAGAAUUAAAAAGAAAAACCUGCUAAUAUUUUAGUUAUACARGGAAGAGACUAUAACAAACUGUCUGUCCCUUCUGAAAAAAAAAAUUCUUAUUUGUAUUUUAAAAAAUCUGAGGUAUAAUUGGUACAGCCAAGUGUUUCCUUCAGGGACUGCAUGUGUUGAAUCAGAUCAACUCUGUGUACACCACAAGGCAUCCUUCUGGAAGACAGUAAAYACACCUACUUUCUUUCCUAUGGAGAAUCACCUCCCCACCCCGACCCCAAAUUGAAUAGAAAGGAAGAAAAAUGCUUUGUGUAGAGUCUUCACAAAAGGCCCUUUCACACAGGACCGGGUGAAGUAGCUUUGUUCCUCUUUGGAAUGCAAGCUUUAUCGUCUUUCUUCUUUAUCUAAGAACAAUUUUUCUCAAUGUGGUUUCAUUUCUAGGGUUAGGGCUUAAUAGGAACUUGUGUAUGAGAUUUACUCUGCUUCUAGUUUCCACUUUAGAAAUAAAUUAUGUUAUUGAGGUUACAUAAUGAGUUGGUCAGUUAAUGAACUCUUUAACAAUUACUAAAAAUUUAAAUUAAAACCUUACAGAACUUACUAAAGGACAUAAAAGACCUGGUUUAAAGGAAAGAUUGUUUUCUUUUUCAUUAAAAUUAAAAAACCCAGUUUGAUGGAAGAUCUGAGUGUUUUAUAGAAUUACAAAAAUUGUUUAUACUGGUGUCUGUUGACUUUUAAGCUAAGGAAAAACUAUAGUGAAGGGUAAUAUAAAUUAGAGCUAGCCCAGAAAUGRCACCAGGAUUUUGUUAAUUUGGAAUUGAGUAUGAAACAAAUAGGAGCAGAGAAUGCAAUCUUUCUUCUCUGAUCUCCUUCACAAGUCUGUAUUCAGAAUCACUUGUGAACAAAAGCUUCUCAACCAAAAGCUUAUUAAAACCAUGUAUAUAUACUAACACUUUUGAACAAAUGGAGUUUUAGAUCCAGAAGGCUGGAGUUWUAUGGAGACUUGAUCUUACAUUAGGAAGAUCUUGGUUGAUAACCUUCUAAACAUCUCUAAGUCCUGGCUGUGAUGGUAACAAGGCAUUGACUGCAUUGUAAUGGUGCUGAGUCAGCCACACUCUGUGGAGAUUACAGACCUGUUAUCACCUGCAGAAUGUUCAUCUAGCAGUGCUCAAGGCUAUAGGAGUCUAGCAUUUUUYUUGUCACCCUAAAACACUGAUCUGGGGAAGACCCAUUUGGGCUUAGUCCYUGGCAAUUCAGCCAUCCAUUUUAGCUACCCUCUUGAAAAUGUAAAGCAAAGCAUUCCUUGCACUAUUCUUAGCUGUGAUGAGAUCAUUUGACAUACUACUCGUGGUUUUCUAAUUUUUACAUAAUCUAUUCUGCUGAUUWAUAUUAUGAGAAAUGAUUGUUUGGAGUGCUGGAAUUUGGAGAGUGAAGCUUUUAUUUUUUCUGUCCUCCUUCUGCUGCCCCGGACAUGAUUGGUUUCUCUUUGAUUCCYUUUUGGCACUCACAGUCAUAUUAUUCCUCUUCCCUUAAUGUUGAUACAUUCUUUUUGUCUCUUUUUGACCUUCAGAGAAACACUUUUAAGAUGAUUGAGCUUAAGGCAAACYGAGCGUGAGGAUGUGUCUUGAAUGAAUGCUGCCCAAGGGAGUGGGGAGGGUGGAGGGGCAAGGCAGCUGAGCAGAAACAUUCAGUGUAUUUCUUAAUUAUCCUUUCACAAAUURUUUUUAAAAUUGUUCAAAAGAAGACAAAAUACUUUGGGCAGGGAACACUACUUUAUUAAUUUUCCAUUUAUUAAAAAAUUUUUCUCUUGAAUGACCUCCAUGGGCUAUUUCUYCGGUUGUGUUUAUGCAACAUUUUCUCUUUGAAAUCUUAAUGAUAAUCUUUAUGCAAAGAAAAUAAUGAAUUCACAGUGUAUUUUAAGCCACAUUUGAUCACGCAGCCAGAC